UUUCCGUAGGUGAACCUGCGGAAGGAUCAUUCAUAAUAAAGUGUUUUAUGGCACUUUUUAAAAAUCCAUAUCCACCUUGUGUGCAAUGUUAGAUCUCGUCAAUCUUGGCGAGAUUUUUAUACAUCAACUCAUUCUUUAACUGAUUUGUCUGAAAAAUAUUAUGAAUACUUAAUUCAAAAUACAACUUUCAACAACGGAUCUCUUGGCUCUU
rnacentral:misc_RNA from 1 species